CGUAGGCGGUUUUUUAAGUCAGAUGUGUAAUCCCCGAGCUUAACUUGGGAACUGCAUCUGAGACUGGAAGGCUAGAGUACUGGAGAGGGUGGUGGAAUUCCUCGUGUAGCGGUGAAAUGCGUAGAGAUGAGGAGGAACACCAGUGGCGAAGGCGGCCACCUGGACAGUAACUGACGCUGAGGCGCGAAAGUGUGGGUAGCAAACAGGAUUAGAUACCCUGGUAGUCCACGCUGUAAACGAUGAACACUUGGUGUGGAGGGAGUUGACCCCUUCCGUGCCGGAGCUAACGCGUUAAGUGUUCCGCCUGGGGAGUACGGUCGCAAAGGCUGAA
rnacentral:rRNA from 1 species